UUAGAUAUUUGACGGGAAACAACAAAAGCUCAAUUAACAAGUAAAUGUUCUCAGACUUUACUAAGUUGACUACCUUGUAUCUUGAUUUUAACUUCGUUAAGGCUGUUGAGGACGAAUCGUUUACCCAUCUAACUUCUCCUCAUAGGCUGUAAAUUCUUAUAUUUGCUAUUAAUCGCUCUCAGAUCUGGUAAGAUACCAUACACAUAUAUAUAUGUAUAUAUUAUAUUAGGACUGACCUAUAUGUAAAGGUUUCAUAGAUAAUAACCCAACUUACUACCAUCAACAAAGGACUGUUAUUUGGUCUCUCCGGUUAGGCUUCUUUGAUCCUUUAUAAUAAUUAUUGAAAAUAUUCCUUCCUCUUCUUCCCUGGAUUAAAAAAAUUAACUUUAUU